GUGGGGAAUAUUGGGCAAUGGGCGAAAGCCUGACCCAGCGACGCCGCGUGAGGGACGAAGGCCUUCGGGUUGUAAACCUCUUUCAGCAGGGAAGAAGCGAAAGUGACGGUACCUGNAGAAGAAGCACCGGCUAACUACGUGCCAGCAGCCGCGGUAAUACGUAGGGUGCAAGCGUUGUCCGGAAUUAUUGGGCGUAAAGAGCUCGUAGGUGGUUUGCCACGUCGGAUGUGAAAACCUGAGGCUUAACCUCAGGCCUGCAUUCGAUACGGGCAGACUAGAGUGUGGUAGGGGAGACUGGAAUUCCUGGUGUAGCGGUGAAAUGCGCAGAUAUCAGGAGGAACACCGAUGGCGAAGGCAGGUCUCUGGGCCAUAACUGACACUGAGGAGCGAAAGCGUGGGGAGCAAA
rnacentral:rRNA from 1 species